rnacentral:lncRNA from 1 species
AUGGAUUAUGCACUCAGAUUUAUCAGUUUUAUUUUUUUUUCAGGUUUCCUAUGACAGUGAUGCUGAAGAAUCAUCUUAUUCCUUCCUCGACCGAGAAGACGAAGAGGAGGAUACUACCAACCGAGUCCAAUGGCUUGUUGAGAAUGCUAACAAUGACGCAACGAAAAUGAUUUCACGCAGAACUGAGAAGUUGUCCUCUCUAGUCGAUGAGUCCUUUGAGACGGUCUUCGUCGGCAUCAAGUAUGAUGUGCUGGAACCACUUCCGCAGACCAAGAAGGU